rnacentral:rRNA from 1 species
CGGACCCAUUCCUGUACAUGCGGCAGUAUUUCUACCAUCCAUAAAUGCAGAUGAAACGUGAGGCUGCACCAUUGGUCCAUAUAACGGGAGUAGGCGAGCUCGUGCGCUCUUUCGCCACUCUCCAGAAAGAGCACCGAUCAAAGAGCUCCCAGAAAUCAAUCGAUCACCCUUCCGCUUCCAACACCAGCCAAAUCGUCGAUUCCUUCCACCAGCAUCUCGAAUCCCCACCGAUACGACCGACAAUGUCGCUGAUCCGUCGCAGCAACGUGUUCGACCCCUUCUCCCUCGACUUCUUCGACCCCUUCGACGGCUUCCCUUUCGGCUCCGGCAGCAACAGCAGCGGCAGCCUCGUCCCGCGCACCUCCUCGGACACGGCGGCCUUCGCGGGCGCGCGCAUCGACUGGAAGGAGACGCCCGAGGCGCACGUGUUCAAGGCGGACGUGCCGGGACUGAAGAAGGAGGAGGUGAAGGUGGAGGUGGAGGACGGCAACAUCCUCCAGAUCAGCGGCGAGCGGAACAAGGAGCAGGAGGAGAAGACCGACACCUGGCAUCGCGUGGAGCGCAGCAGCGGCAAGUUCCUGCGCAGGUUCCGGCUCCCGGAGAACGCCAAGGCGGAGCAGGUGAAGGCGUCCAUGGAGAACGGCGUGCUCACCGUCACCGUGCCCAAGGAGGAGGCCAAGAAGCCCGAGGUCAAGUCCAUCCAGAUCUCCGGCUAGAGCGAUGAAAUGGGAUGUAGAGCAGUGGUGUGGAGUCUCCCCCCGGUCGUCGUGAUGAAAUAAAAUCAAGAAGAGUCCGGCCGUCUGUGCGUGCGAAUGGUCCAAUGUUGCAGUCAGUGUUUUGAGUCUCUCGUGUCAGUGUUUUGAGUCCGGUUUGUUGUUGUUUGUUCAUCAGUCUGUACUGGCUCUGUACUCCAUCAGCAACUGAGUAAAUUCAUUACCUUCUCUGCUAAUUUGUGAAUGGCC